CGUCCACGUCGUUUCGUCCUCUACACACACACACACACACACACACACACUCGCGCACUGUCUUGAUCGAUGAGCUUGCCUAUUUUGCUGCUGGACGUGGCGGAACAAUAGUAACAUGCCUUGUUUCUGGUGGCGAAUCACGUAUGGCGUGGUGUUCCCCGCGGUGCAGCAUACGCUGCAUGGGAUUGAGGGGCGGUGACUUCCCACACAGACGGCAGUGGCGACCAUGCUAGUUCACUACAGGGCGAGUUUUUUACCCUUUAUGAAGAAUUAAAAGCGGACGAUGGCAAAUUCUUCAAUUACUUUAGGAUGUCAUACCCAACCUUUGAGGAACUUGUGGCAAGGGUUACGGAUGAUAUUAAACUGCAGGACACAAACAUGAGGCCAUCUAUUCCACCUGAAGAAGCAGUGGCUUUAAGCAUCAGGUAUCUUGCCUCUGGUUGCAGCCUGACGGAUCUCCACUACAGGUACAGAAUUGAUAUAUCUACAGCCUGCAAAGUUGUAAGAAGAGUGUGUUGUGCAAUAUGGGACAUGAUGAAGGUGGAGUGUUUUCCCCAACUU